rnacentral:rRNA from 1 species
AGCACGAAGCUUGCUCUCGGGUGACGAGCGGCGGACGGGUGAGUAAUGUCUGGGAAACUGCCUGAUGGAGGGGGAUAACUACUGGAAACGGUAGCUAAUACCGCAUAAUGUCGCAAGACCAAAGUGGGGGACCUUCGGGCCUCAUGCCAUCAGAUGUGCCCAGAUGGGAUUAGCUAGUAGGUGGGGUAACGGCUCACCUAGGCGACGAUCCCUAGCUGGUCUGAGAGGAUGACCAGCCACACUGGAACUGAGACACGGUCCAGACUCCUACGGGAGGCAGCAGUGGGGAAUAUUGCACAAUGGGCGCAAGCCUGAUGCAGCCAUGCCGCGUGUGUGAAGAAGGCCUUCGGGUUGUAAAGCACUUUCAGCGGGGAGGAAGGCGUUGAGGUUAAUAACCUUGUCGAUUGACGUUACCCGCAGAAGAAGCACCGGCUAACUCCGUGCCAGCAGCCGCGGUAAUACGGAGGGUGCAAGCGUUAAUCGGAAUUACUGGGCGUAAAGCGCACGCAGGCGGUCUGUCAAGUCGGAUGUGAAAUCCCCGGGCUCAACCUGGGAACUGCAUUCGAAACUGGCAGGCUAGAGUCUUGUAGAGGGGGGUAGAAUUCCAGGUGUAGCGGUGAAAUGCGUAGAGAUCUGGAGGAAUACCGGUGGCGAAGGCGGCCCCCUGGACAAAGACUGACGCUCAGGUGCGAAAGCGUGGGGAGCAAACAGGAUUAGAUACCCUGGUAGUCCACGCCGUAAACGAUGUCGAUUUGGAGGUUGUGCCCUUGAGGCGUGGCUUCCGGAGCUAACGCGUUAAAUCGACCGCCUGGGGAGUACGGCCGCAAGGUUAAAACUCAAAUGAAUUGACGGGGGCCCGCACAAGCGGUGGAGCAUGUGGUUUAAUUCGAUGCAACGCGAAGAACCUUACCUGGUCUUGACAUCCACAGAACUUUCCAGAGAUGGAUUGGUGCCUUCGGGAACUGUGAGACAGGUGCUGCAUGGCUGUCGUCAGCUCGUGUUGUGAAAUGUUGGGUUAAGUCCCGCAACGAGCGCAACCCUUAUCCUUUGUUGCCAGCGGUCCGGCCGGGAACUCAAAGGAGACUGCCAGUGAUAAACUGGAGGAAGGUGGGGAUGACGUCAAGUCAUCAUGGCCCUUACGACCAGGGCUACACACGUGCUACAAUGGCAUAUACAAAGAGAAGCGACCUCGCGAGAGCAAGCGGACCUCAUAAAGUAUGUCGUAGUCCGGAUUGGAGUCUGCAACUCGACUCCAUGAAGUCGGAAUCGCUAGUAAUCGUAGAUCAGAAUGCUACGGUGAAUACGUUCCCGGGCCUUGUACACACCGCCCGUCACACCAUGGGAGUGGGUUGCAAAAGAAGUAGGUAGC